rnacentral:lncRNA from 1 species
AUGAUGCCUGGCCGAUGAAAAAAACCUCAGAAAGUGUUAGUACUACUACUAAUAAUAACAUUAUUGCUCUCUCUCAGGGCUAUUCAGACACCAACUAAUUUAUUUCCCUCCUGCCCCCUUCCUUAUUGAUCAAUGCUUUAGCCGAGUGGCUGUUAAAUGACUUGUUCCCAUAGCAACCAUCAGAUACAUGCUCGGAUCUGAUGUGUCUGUUUCCUGAGCCAGAUCGCCUCCUAAGAGCUUGGAGAGAACAAAUC